UAAAAUAAAUGUGGGAGACCUGAGAGCCCAUGGGAGACAGCAUAAUACAUAUUGCAGGUUGAUAUCAUAUCAAGCUGUGGCUCCACAUCCUUUUUCCAGGCAGCUCCAUAAGCCCCAAGCUCAUCCUUUGAGAUGCAGGGGCACACAGGCAGAGCUAGAUACAAGGACACUGGAAGGCUGGAUACACAGGACAUUCCAAGCCUCAGGCUUUAUAUUGCCCAGUGAAACUGAUAACAUCUGCUGGUAACAUCUGAAAGAAAUACCAGAGACAAGGUAGGAUAUUCAAUUUGGUUAGAUGCAUAUGACAGAAGGGAUAAGGGUAGGUCACACCACCUAUCAAGAUCAUACUCAUAGUGUCAGGGUCAGCCCCUGUUGUGGUCCUUCUGUGUCCCUUCCCGUUUGGCCAGCAGGCGUUUGCUGGUCAUCCCGUUCUUUAUG